AUUGCUCGUGAUUUUCCACCCAAACGGCAGGCAAUUGUAGGGCUAACAUCCACACGCAGUUCUCGCUGACAAAUGCUAAUAGAGUUUUAAAAAAUAUCAACUCACCAAUAUGAUCAUCUCUUAAUUGAGAGAUUUCACUUUUCAGAGCAAAAACUAAAUCAUUGUUGUCGGAAGAGUGGAAAACAAUAAGUUGGUCGCGUCCAGGGCUAACACUGAUGGAUGUUAACUAGAGAAGGGAAUAUAAUAUAAUGAAUAAUAUGUAUCCAGAAGCGAUAAUUAAAUGAAAAGUGUUUUAAAAAAACAUUAUUUAACCAAUUUCUAUAAAAUAAUUUUCAGAAUAAGUAAAUUUUAAUAAUUAUUUACUUUCUUAAAAAUUGUUUUACACAUUUCUCUAUAAUAUUAAUAAGUUUUAAUAUUAACUUACAUCUUUAAUGGAUAAAGAAUGAUUCAUAUUUUUGAAUUUAUGUUUAGCACCAUCCAGUUUAUAGAUUGUCGAAUCUGUUACAAUAAAGGCACGAUCAGCAGUUUUA